UUCCUGGUGGCCUAGUGAUGAAAGACUCAGCAUUGUUACUGCUGUGGCCCAGGUUUAAUCCUUGGCUUGGGAA
rnacentral:tRNA from 1 species